rnacentral:misc_RNA from 1 species
GAUGAAUCGAAGAAAUCGUUUGUUAUGGGUUUAUUAUUACAAAGAGUUUGGAGUUUUCUUCUUAAUCAAGGUUCAUCUAAAUUAUUUCACAAAAAGUUCAGCACAGUUUUGCCAAUUUCAAUUGACGGAGGAUAUGGCUGGGUUAUCGUUGCUAUCACUUUUAUUGGCGUUUUUACCGUUGAUGGAAUAGCAUAUACGUUUUAUAUAUUGAUGCCAGGUUUAAUUAAGGAUGGCCUGACUGAAAGCAACUGCGCUUUAUCUAUAGCAACGAUAAAUAGUUUAUCCAUGUUAAUUGCACCUCUCUCUAGCAGUUUGUGCAAUGCAAUCGGAUUCAGGACUGUUAUGAUAAUCGGUUCUGUCAUAUCCUGUUUGGGAUUUGCAAUGUCUUAUUUUGCCAUCACAUUAUUCGGUUUCUUGGGCUAUUAUUUCACUUUUGGGAUAUUAGGGGGAAUUGGCCUUGGGUUAAUGUACUUACCGAUGUCUGUAGCACCAAGUAUGUGGUUUGACACUAAAAGACCGUUAGCAGUUGGUAUUGCAACGUGUGGGACUGGUAUAGGAAUGAUAGUAAUUCCAUUUUUACUUGAAUACCUGACUACUUGUUUUCAUUACAGAACUUUGAACUUAGUCAUCGCUGCGUUGAUGUCCGUGAAUGUGAUUACUGCUGUUUUCUUACGACCAGCUCCUACUAUUGAAAUUGAAGUUGACAAUAAAAAUGAACCUGAAAAAGGAGUUACUGCUCGCAAGUUUAUUGGAAAUUUUCAGUUUAAAGUAAAAGAAACAGAUUCCAGUUUUAGCGCUUCGCAUUCCUUCAGACAAUUCAGGAGUAAAAGAACUAGCAAACUAAUGAGCAGAAGUACAAUAUCACUGUUGAAAUUGAAAGAGAAACGAUCUUAUUCUGUUAACAGCCAUUUCAAUGAAGAAGUAAGCCAUUGCAAAAAAUGUUGGCUUUGUUGUAAAUACACCUUUGGAUUUCAUCCAAAAGGAUAUCGGCCUAUGUACAAAGCAGACAUAUUUUAUAAUGGAAGCAUUUUAAGAUUCGACAAAAAUUUAUUGAAAAAAAAUGUGGAUACAAUAAUGGAUUAUUCUAUGCAUGUUUACUACCUACCAACAAAAAAAGAUGUCAAUGAACCAACAUGUAAAGUUUGCUGUCCAGAAUCUCUAGGUUGUAUGGUUCUUUAAGAAAUCUGCUUUUGGUUGAUUACAUUGGCCUUGAAAAUUUGACGCCAGCAACAGGAAUUUUGUUCACAAUUGCGGGAUUAAGCAAUUUGAUAGGGCCUCCUGUAGCAGUGGAAAUAACUGGAGGAGG